AGGCCCUGGGACCAAACACCACUGCCUGGUCAGCAACAGCAUAACAUCAGUCAGGAUCAGGACCAGCACAUCUGUGGAGGAAAGGAAGAAGAUCAACAGGAAUAUUACACAUUACACAGUGAUGGUGCUGACGCUAGACUGAGUGAUGUUACUUAUGCCACCAUUGAUCAACAAGGCACAAGUGAGAAUGUCAAAAACAGGAAGAAAAAAGAAGGACAUGAAGCAGAGGCAGCUAUUGUGUAUUCAGAGCUCAAAACCGUGAAUAACGCAGGAGAAGCUGGUAGCUGGACACAGUGACUUCAUGUAUGGCUAUGACAGGGAAACCAAUGGUCUCCAAGGACAUGAAACAGGAAUUUCUUCGAUGGAGUAAUGUUUCGGCAAAAAGCUUUUAGCUGGGCCACACAAAACCUGAAUUUAAAAGAACCAAACUCAGUCCUUUAAAAGUGGACCAAAAGGUAGACCGAAACAAAAAGGACUCAGUUCCUCAGUCCCUCUGUAUUCAAAUGGAAUUUAUUUAAAAGAGGGCUCUGAUCUCUUUGUAGUGCACUUCAGCUCUGAUGGGGCUUCAGUGUUCUUCCUGUUUCCACUAUAUACUUUAGCUUCUCUGGGGGUUUCAGACCUUACUGCUUUGGAUUAUGAAUGUAGAUGCUCUGGGUUAGUUAUGUAUUAUUUUCAUCAUCAUUCAUUAUCAGGUUCAAAUAAUUAUCAUGUCACAUGAUUGGUGUGGUGGUCUGUUCCACAAGCACACCCACUCACCCAUGCAAACACCCAUGCAAACACACACACACACACACACACACACACACACACACACACACACACUCACAUGUCAUUUUAAUAUAUUCACAAUGAAAACAACAAGGAAAAAUCCAUCCUUGAAGGGAAGAACAUUUAU